AUCAGAUAACAUCUCCAGGAUACUUCACACCAUCUGACUGUCACCUCCUCUUCGAGAGAUACGAGGCGAUGCGAUUCUUCAGACUCACCUUCAAGUGUUUCGUGGAUUGUUUUUGAAGACAAGAAGAAGAACAGAAUAAUGCCAACACCACUUCUCCUAUAGAUGCCAGCAGCAGGGCCAACAACAGCACUCCUAUAGAUUACAACAGCGAGGCCCCCCAACAACACUCCUACAGAGUGCAGCAGCAGGACCAACAACAGCACUCCUAUAGAUUACAACAGCGAGGCCCCCCAACAACACUCCUACAGAGUGCAGCAGCAGGGCCAACAACAGCACUCCUAUAGAUAACAGCAGCGAGACCCCAACAACACUCCUACAGAGUGCAGCAGCAGGGCCAACAACAGCACUCCUAUAGAUAACAGCAGCGAGACCCCCAACAACACUCCUACAGAGUGCAGCAGCAGGACCAACAACAGCACUCCUAUAGAUUACAACAGCGAG